GGAGUACUUGCGGUGGAUACCGGAGUGGUGCGACGCGCACCCGGAAUGCUGGGAGGAGAUCGUGCGCUACUGGAGAUCGGACAAGGCGUACGAGGUGAAAAACGAGCGUCGGCAGCGCCGGCUCAAGAACAAGGGGGUAGCACACCACCAAGGGAAUCGGUCCCUCCCGCAGUUCAUGGACGCCUGGAGGGACUCCCAUGAUGGGGAGGAGAUCAACGUGGUGGUGGGGUACGCCCUUUCUAAAAAGGGCAAGGCGAAGGACCCGAACAACAGGUUCGACCCGCAGGACGGGCCGGAGGCAUACACCAACGCCGGCGUCCACCCCAAGCUCGUCGAGUACAGCGCCGCGUUUCGCCAGCGCCAU